rnacentral:rRNA from 1 species
UACGUAGGGUGCGAGCGUUUAAUCGGAAUUACUGGGCGUAAAGCGUGCGCAGGCGGUUCGUUGUGUCGGCGGUGAAAACCCCGGGCUCAACCUGGGAAUGGCCGUUGAAACUGGCGAACUGGAGUGUGGCAGAGGGGGGUGGAAUUCCGCGUGUAGCAGUGAAAUGCGUAGAGAUGUGGAGGAAUACCGAUGGCGAAGGCAGCCUCCUGGGCUAACACUGACGCUCAGGCACGAAAGCGUGGGGAGCAAACAGG